rnacentral:rRNA from 1 species
GACGGGGGGUCCAAGCGUUGUUCGGAAUCAUUGGGCGUAAAGCGUGUGCAGGUGGUCUUGUACGUUGGCUGUGAAAGCCCCGGGCUUAACUCGGGAAGUGCAUUCAAAACUGCAAGACUUGAGUAUGGAAGAGGGUCGUGGAAUUCCAGGUGUAGUGGUGAAAUACGUAGAUAUCUGGAGGAACACCGGUGGCGAAGGCGGCGACCUGGUCCUAUACUGACACUCAUACACGAAAGCGUGGGGAUCAAACAGG